GGGCGUAAAGCGCGCGUAGGGCCGUUGAGUUAGUUAAUUGUGAAAUCCCAAAGCUUAACUUUGGAACUGCAAUUAAAACUGCUCGGCUAGAGUUUGAUAGAGGAAAGCGGAAUACAUAGUGUAGAGGUGAAAUUCGUAGAUAUUAUGUAGAACACCAGUUGCGAAGGCGGCUUUCUGGAUCAACACUGACGCUGAGGCGCGAAAGUAUGGGUAGCAAAGAGGAUUAGAUACCCUCGUAGUCCACACCAUAAACGAUGAUUGCUAGAUGUUGGAAAUUUAUUUUCAGUAUCGCAGCUAACGCAUUAAGCAAUCCGCCUGGGGAGUACGACCGCAAGGUUAAAACUCAAAUGAAUUGACGGGGACCCGCACAAGCGGUGGAGCAUGUGGUUUAAUUCGAAGAUACGCGCAGAACCUUACCAACCCUUGACAUGUCUGUCGCGAGUUUAGGAAACUAGACUUUUCGGUUCGGCCGGACAGAACACAGGUGCUGCAUGGCUGUCGUCAGCUCGUGUCGUGAGAUGUUGGGUU
rnacentral:rRNA from 1 species